rnacentral:rRNA from 1 species
GAUGAACGCUGGCGGCGUGCUUAACACAUGCAAGUCGAACGAUGAAGCCCAGCUUGCUGGGUGGAUUAGUGGCGAACGGGUGAGUAACACGUGAGUAACCUGCCCUUAACUCUGGGAUAAGCCUGGGAAACUGGGUCUAAUACCGGAUAGGAGCGUCCACCGCAUGGUGGGUGUUGGAAAGAUUUAUCGGUUUUGGAUGGACUCGCGGCCUAUCAGCUUGUUGAUGAGGUAGUGGCUCACCAAGGCGACGACGGGUAGCCGGCCUGAGAGGGUGACCGGCCACACUGGGACAGAAACACGGCCCAGACUCCUACGGGAGGCAGCAGUGGGGAAUAUUGCACAAUGGGCGCAAGCCUGAUGCAGCGACGCCGCGUGAGGGAUGACGGCCUUCGGGUUGUAAACCUCUUUCAGUAGGGAAGAAGCGAAAGUGACGGUACCUGCAGAAGAAGCACCGGCUAACUACGUG